AGCUUGUUGGGUGAGGUAAUGGCUCACCCAAGGCGACGACGGGUAGCCGGCCUGAGAGGGUGACCGGCCACACUGGGACUGAGACACGGGCCCAGACUCCUACGGGAGGCAGCAGUGGGGAAUAUUGCACAAUGGGCGCAAGCCUGAUGCAGCGACGCCGCGUGAGGGAUGACGGCCUUCGGGUUGUAAACCUCUUUCAGUAGGGAAGAAGCGAAAGUGACGGUACCUGCAGAAGAAGCACCGGCUAACUACGUGCCAGCAGCCGCGGUAAUACGUAGGGUGCGAGCGUUAUCCGGAAUUAUUGGGCGUAAAGAGCUCGUAGGCGGUUUGUCGCGUCUGUCGUGAAAGUCCGGGGCUUAACCCCGGAUCUGCGGUGGGUACGGGCAGACUAGAGUGCAGUAGGGGAGACUGGAAUUCCUGGUGUAGCGGUGGAAUGCGCAGAUAUCAGGAGGAACACCGAUGGCGAAGGCAGGUCUCUGGGCUGUAACUGACGCUGAGGAGCGAAAGCAUGGGGAGCGAACAGGAUUAGAUACCCUGGUAGUCCAUGCCGUAAACGUUGGGCACUAGGUGUGGGGACCAUUCCACGGUUUCCGUGCCGCAGCUAACGCAUUAAGUGCCCCGCCUGGGGAGUACGGCCGCAAGGCUAAAACUCAAAGGAAUUGACGGGGGCCCGCACAAGCGGCGGAGCAUGCGGAUUAAUUCGAUGCAACGCGAAGAACCUUACCAAGGCUUGACAUGUUCUCGAUCGCCGUAGAGAUACGGUUUCCCCUUUGGGGCGGGUUCACAGGUGGUGCAUGGGUUGUCGUCAGCUCGUGUCGUGGAGAUGUUGGGUUAAGUCCCGCAACCGAGCGCAACCCCUCGUUCCAUUGUUGCCAGCACGUUCGUGGUGGGGGACUCAUGGGAAGACUGCCCGGGGUCAACUUCCGGAGGAAAGGUGAGGAACCGACGUCCAAAUCCAUC
rnacentral:rRNA from 1 species